ensembl:lncRNA
UAUCUCCUGGGAGCUGGCAGGUGGCUCUUCUGCAGGUCACCAGGACUUGUGGUGCACUGGCCUCCUUCAGCUGGCAGCUUUGUGGACUGGCCUCCCUCCCACUUCUCUGUGCAGCUGAGACAGCAACGGAGAGCAGGAAGGAAGAUGCAUGGCCUAGCACUGCUCCAUUCACUUUUGCUGACAUCACAAGAGACAGGAUAGAAAAGAGGACAUUUGAAGCAAGGGGCACACUUGGAACAAAGACACGAACAGCAUGUGGCAUGCCCAAGGACAUGCCGGAAGAUUCUGCCAGGAGAUAGGAAGAGGACACAGGCUGAGAGAGGCUGAGAAGCAGUGGGAGUGAGGAGACGAGAGUGACAGAGGCCAGAUGGGGCCACACUCCAAGGGCACCCAGGACUUUGGAGUUAACUCUGCAGGGAGCUCCGAAUCCCGCCCCGAAAGUGUCUGGCUUCCUCCACAUCCCCACCUACAGGCGGCCUGGCGUUUCCAAGGGGAGUACCUGACCUGGCUGGUGCUCCCUCCAGACCACCACCUGCACAGUCCCCAUUUGGGUCAGGCCUGGGCGGGCUCUCUGGCCUGCCGGGUGUAAGCCCCGGCCCUGCUGACCCAGAGCCAGUCUGCUUUCUUCAUGGAGACAUUGCCCCUUCCUCUUCCUCUUCCUGGGCUGCCCCUGCCGUGCCCCACCUCCCUGGGGGUGCUAGUGCCCAGGGAGGCAGUGAGAGGCUCAGGUCUGGCCCAUCAGUGAUGGGGUCUGAGAUGAACUUCCCUUGGAACCAGUGGGGAGGCUGCCAGCUAACCGCUUCUGCCUGACGGAAGCUGAGGUCUGGGGAGCAGCCAUUACAAACAGAGGGAGAGGGGGGUCCCAGGACAGCAUCCAGCCUUCUUGGUCCAGUCACACUUGGUCAGGUCUGCCCUGGGCUUUUCGAUUAAUUCCCCCUUUUUGCUUUUUUUCCUCCAGAGAAGAGGUUAGUUUGCUAGUGCGGGCUGCUGAUGUCCACUGCAGUGACGAGCCCACCUGAUUCAGAACCCAGCUACUCGGGGCCUCUGUGCUGCAUGAGGGCCUGUCUAGCUGCAGGGCCCCAGCUGGUAGAGGCCCGCCUCAGACUCCACCUCCUCUCCCAGUUUGGGUACUUCCUGAUGGCAAAAUCCACGAUGCCCCCUGCUGCUCUCGGCUCUGGGCUUGCAACCUGAUCCUGCUAUCUCCGCAGCAUUCAAGAUGACUUGUUGGGUGCCAGGUUGCAGCUCUGACAGAUGCUGGCCCAGUGAGGCCUCCAUGGCAUCAACCGUGCACCUCAGAGCUCGGACCCACACGCCAGGAAGGCCUAGUGUGCAGCCCUUUGGAGGGUACAUGGCAAAUGGGAAGUGUGGGUAGGGAUGGCCCCUGUUCUGUCAUGGGGCACCAGGAGCCCAAGAGGGAUGAGGGCCUGGGGACGGGCUGAGCAAGGCUGUGGAAGGACAUGGGGGGCAGGAACCAAGCAGUGGAGACCCAGCUGGGCCUGCUCUGGGGCUUGUCCCAAGAAGCCGGAGAUAAGUAGGUGGGUGUCUCCCUCUGCACAAGCCAGCCACACACCCCAAGGGAGCCUGUGCCACCAGGAGAGACACACACAUCAGGG